GUGGAAAGACCAUCAAUGGUUCUCUGAACAAUUGGUUUUUAAUUUUUUUUUUUUUCUUCCGCCUAAUUUUUUUUCCUUCGCUGUUUUUUUGUUUCGCAAGAUGUCGCUUAGAUUUUUUGGAAUAUGAUAUCGACAGUUUAUACGCUUUUGAAACCAACUCUGCUUAACCGAAUACUUUCCCAAAUAAGAGUUAUCUCCCCAAACACUGUUUUUCUUGUUAUCUCUAAGGCUUCGCAACCGUAUAAGAAACGGACAAAUUUAUUUUUUCAAAUUGCUCGUUAUAUCCUCAGGAUGUUCUGUUUUAUUUUGACCGAAGCCGUAUAUAGAUUCCAUAUGAGAGUUAUCCCCCCUUUUAUGUUUAAUAUAAGAAUAUGCAUUUCUAACUGGUAAACCAUAAGUGAUAGAGACCUAGGGUCUUUUGAUUUGAGAUCCUUGGUCCAAAAAAAUGAAAAUAAGGUCAAGGUCAAAGGUCAAGGUCAUAUUAUAAAUUUUGAUUUUGGCUUAUUUUCACUUAUUUUCAAAAUCU
rnacentral:lncRNA from 1 species